GACGAACCGUGCGAACGUUGUUCGGAAUCACUGGGCAUAAAGGGCGCGUAGGCGGCUUUUCAAGUCAGGGGUGAAAUCCGGCAGCUCAACUGUCGAAGUGCCCUUGAUACUGAUGAGCUCGAGGGAGGUAGGGGUGUGUGGAACUUCCGGUGGAGCGGUGAAAUGUGUUGAUAUCGGAAGGAACGCCGGUGGCGAAAGCGACGCACUGGACCUCUUCUGACGCUGAGGCGCGAAAGCUAGGGGAGCAAGCGGG
rnacentral:rRNA from 1 species